rnacentral:rRNA from 1 species
CCUACGGGAGGCAGCAGUGGGGAAUAUUGGACAAUGGGCGCAAGCCUGAUCCAGCCAUGCCGCGUGUGUGAAGAAGGCCUUCGGGUUGUAAAGCACUUUUAUCCGGAAAGAAAAGCUUUGGGUUAAUACCCUGAAGUCAUGACGGUACCGGAAGAAUAAGCACCGGCUAACUUCGUGCCAGCAGCCGCGGUAAUACGAAGGGUGCAAGCGUUACUCGGAAUUACUGGGCGUAAAGCGUGCGUAGGUGGUUUGUUAAGUCUGAAUGGUGAAAGCCCCUAGGCUCAACCUGGGAAUUGCAUUGGAUACUGGCAGGCUAGAGUGCGGUAGAGGAUAGUGGAAUUCCCGGUGUAGCAGUGAAAUGCGUAGAGAUCGGGAGGAACAUCUGUGGCGAAGGCGACUAUCUGGGCCAGCGACUGACACUGAGGCACGAAAGCGUGGGGAGCAAACAGGAUUAGAUACCCCUGGUAGUCCCACGCCCUAAACGAUGNGACAGAUGUGGUGCACUAGANACNCAGUAUGAGACAACGACGUUAAGUUACGUCCGCCGUCGGGAGGUACGGUCGGCGAAGAACGUAGAACGUAACAAACUAGAAGUUAGGUACGGACGUUGAGACGNGCGACGGACGACACAGGGAGGAGG